AUGUGUCCGUGCAUCUGUGUGUGUGUGUCUGUCUGUCUGUCCGUGCAUCUGUGUGUGCAUCUGUGUGUGUGUCUGUGUGUCUGUCUGUCUGUCUGUCCGUCCGUGUGUCCGUGCAUCUGUGUGUGUGUCUGUCUGUCUGUCUGUCCGUCCGUGUGUCCGUGCAUCUGUGUGUGUGUCUGUCUGUCUGUCUGUCUGUCUGUCCGUCCGUGUGUCCGUGCAUCUGUGUGUGUGUCUGUGUGUCUGUCUGUCUGUCCGUCCGUGUGUCCGUGCAUCUGUGUGUGUGUCUGUGUGUCUGUCUGUCUGUCCGUCCGUGUGUCCGUGCAUCUGUGUGUGUGUCUGUGUGUCUGUGUCUGUGUGUGUGUCUGUCUGUGUGUGUCUGUGUGUGUGUCUGUGUCUGUCUCUGUGUCCGUGUGUGUUGUGUGUGUCUGUCUGUGUGUCUGUCUGUGUCCGUGUGUUUCUGUGUCUGUCUGUGUCCGUGUGUGUGUCUGUGUGUCUGUGUGUGUGUCCGUGUGUCCAUGUGUGUGUCUCUGUGUCUGUCUGUGUCCAUGUGUGUCUGUGUGUCUGUGUUUCUGUCUGUGUGUCCGUGUGUGUGUGUCCGGGUGUCCAUGUGCAUCUGUGGGUGUCCAUGUCAGUGUGUUUCUGUCUGUGUGUCUGUCUGUGUCCGUGAGUGUCAGUGUGUGUUGUUUCUCUCUGUGUGUCUCUGUGUGUCCAUUUGCGUCUGUGUCUCUGUGUCUGUCUGUGUCCGUGUGUCUCCGUGUGUCUCCAUGUGUUUCUGUCCGUGUGUGUCUGUGUGUCUGUGUGUCUCCGUGUGUGUCCCUGUGUGUCUGUGUGUCUCUGUCUGUGUCCCUGUGUGUCUGUGUGUCUCCGUGUGUGUCCCUGUGUGUCUGUGUGUCUCCGUGUGUGUCCCUGUGUGUCUGUGUGUCUCCGUGUGUGUCCCUGUGUGUCUGUGUGUCUCUGUGUGUGUCCCUGUGUGUCUGUGUGUCUCUGUGUGUGUCUCUGUGUGUCUGUGUCUCCGUGUGUGUCCCUGUGUGUCUGUGUCUCUGUGUGUGUCCCUGUGUGUCUGUGUGUCUCUGUGUGUGUCCCUGUGUGUCUGUGUCUCUGUGUGUGUCCCUGUGUGUCUGUGUGUCUCCGUGUGUGUCCCUGUGUGUCUGUGUCUCUGUGUGUGUCCCUGUGUGUCUGUGUGUCUCUGUGUGUGUCCCUGUGUGUCUGUGUCUCCGUGUGUGUCCCUGUGUGUCUGUGUGUCUCUGUCUGUGUCCCUGUGUGUCUGUGUGUCUCCGUGUGUGUCCCUGUGUGUCUGUGUCUCCGUGUGUGUCCCUGUGUGUCUGUGUGUCUCUGUGUGUGUCCCUGUGUGUCUGUGUGUCUCUGUGUGUGUCUCUGUGUGUCUGUGUCUCCGUGUGUGUCCCUGUGUGUCUGUGUCUCUGUGUGUGUCCCUGUGUGUCUGUGUGUCUCUGUGUGUGUCCCUGUGUGUCUGUGUCUCCGUGUGUGUCCCUGUGUGUCUGUGUCUCUGUGUGUGUCCCUGUGUGUCUGUGUGUCUCCGUGUGUGUCCCUGUGUGUCUGUGUGUCUCCGUGUGUGUCCCUGUGUGUCUGUGUGUCUCUGUCUGUGUCCCUGUGUGUCUGUGUGUCUCCGUGUGUGUCCCUGUGUGUCUGUGUGUCUCUGUGUGUGUCCCUGUGUGUCUGUGUGUCUCUGUGUGUGUCCCUGUGUGUCUGUGUGUCUCCGUGUGUGUCCCUGUGUGUCUGUGUGUCUCCGUGUGUGUCCCUGUGUGUCUGUGUGUCUCCGUGUGUGUCCCUGUGUGUCUGUGUCUCUGUCUGUGUCCCUGUGUGUCUGUGUGUCUCCGUGUGUGUCCCUGUGUGUCUGUGUGUCUCUGUGUGUGUCCCUGUGUGUCUGUGUGUCUCUGUGUGUGUCCCUGUGUGUCUGUGUGUCUCUGUGUGUGUCCGUGUGUGUCCGUGUGUCUCUGUGUGUGUCCGUGUGUGUCCCUGUGCGUGUCUGGCACGUGUCCUGGGCUCUCUGUGUAUCUCCGUGUGUCUCUGUCUGUGUCCCUGUGUGUCUGUGUGUCUCCGUGUGUGUCCCUGUGUGUCUGUGUGUCUCUGUGUGUGUCCGUGUGUGUCCGUGUGUCUCUGUGUGUGUCCCUGUGUGUCUGUGUGUCUCCGUGUGUGUCCCUGUGUGUCUGUGUGUCUCCGUGUGUGUCCCUGUGUGUCUGUGUGUCUCCGUGUGUGUCCCUGUGUGUCUGUGUCUCUGUCUGUGUCCCUGUGUGUCUGUGUGUCUCCGUGUGUGUCCCUGUGUGUCUGUGUGUCUCUGUGUGUGUCCCUGUGUGUCUGUGUGUCUCUGUGUGUGUCCCUGUGUGUCUGUGUGUCUCUGUGUGUGUCCGUGUGUGUCCGUGUGUCUCUGUGUGUGUCCGUGUGUGUCCCUGUGCGUGUCUGGCACGUGUCCCGGGCUCUCUGUGUAUCUCCGUGUGUCUCUGUCUGUGUCCCUGUGUGUCUGUGUGUCUCCGUGUGUGUCCCUGUGUGUCUAUGUGUCUCUGUGUGUGUCCGUGUGUGUCCAUGUGUCUGUGUGUGUGUCCCUGUGUGUCCCUGUGCGUGUCUGGCACGUGUCCCGGGCUCUCUGUGUUUCUGUGUCUCCCUGCGCUCUCUGUGUGUCUGUCCGUGUGCUGCUGCGGUUGUAUGGAGUCGCAUGUUUGUGCGUCUCUCUCUCUGUGCACACACACGUCCCCCCAUCACCACGCACCGGCCCCUCCCGUGCUCUCACCUGGCCUCCGGCUUCCCCGCGCACACACACACACGCGCGACGGCCUCUGGCUGCUGUGGCUGUGGUGGCCCCGGGCUGCGGUCAGGGCGUGUGUGGGGCGCGUGCGGACGCGUGUGCGGCAGCCGGGCGGGCCGGGCCCUGUUUGUCCUCCUGGCCCGGAUCCCAGAUCCUCUGUGUCACACGGCCCCGGGCGUUGUUUACACAACGGAGGUGACCGGGCCGUGACCUGUGGUGGCUGA
rnacentral:lncRNA from 1 species